rnacentral:lncRNA from 1 species
UUCUCAGUCGCAAUAGUUAUUUCUCAGUCAACAAUCGUAGCCAUCCAAUCAAGAUUUUCUUAUCCAUCGGGUCUACAAUAAUCUUACACGAAUCUCAGUGAUUGAAUCAAAAGGUUGUUAUUAUCGAUGGAGAAAGUUAUUUCUCAGUCGCAUAGGAAAUACCAAAACCGUAAAAGAAAAGGAAGAGACGGGGACAGAGAAAAUGGAGGCGACGGCGUCCUCACCGACGGCGAGAGGCGAGUCGGUGGUGAUAGGGAGGACGGCGAGAGGCGAGUCGGUGGUGAUAGGAGCUGGUCCAGGACGUCAAUAGGAGCCUGCUAGGGCUCUGCCUAGAUGCGGUGGAGGAGCGGAGCGGCCACGGCAGUGGGACAGAGAGGUCACAGCGGGAGCAGCGACGCAGGCUCGCCGGCGGCGAAGGAGGGCACGGCGAGGACUGGAGAGGCGCGGAUAAGACUCAGGAGCUCCUUGAGGUUCAGUUGGCGUAGCUCCUGUGCCGCGUGGUGCUCCCGGCGGUGGUGGUCGUCGACGGUGGCGGAGGACAGAGGAAGUUGACGGUGCGGGCUUGACGGCGAGCUCCUUAGCUGCAACAUAGAGAGGGAGGAGAUGCGUGAGGUCGAGUUGAUGUUCUGGACAGGAGUAAUUUAGAAGAUCCGUCGGGAUUGACAAGGUAUUGGCGACGGCUCACCUCGCCGGAGCCGAGGAAGAAGGCCUCGUCUGGACUAGCUACUGUCUGCAGCCUGCCCGCAGCCGGCCCUCGCUCGCCGGCCGCCCCUGCCCGCGCCCCUCCUGCCUGCUUCGUGCACGCCCCUGGCCGAGCUCGAGUUCGCCCUUGUCAAAUCUGCUGGGAACAGUGCGGCAACGGAGCAGAGCAGCCAGCGAUGUACGAGUUGGAAGCUUAAAUUAGCAGCAUGGCUGGAAGCUUAAAUUAGCGUAUACAAAUAGGAGUAUUGUAUCAGCACACCACGCAGCACCAGAUGUGGAUCCCCUGCACAGUUUGCUCGUGUUCCGCAUCUGACCGCUGUCUCCUUCCUUCGUCUUCUUCCUCCGGAGUCCCGAUCCGAUCUCCAAUUUUUUUUUCCGCCUGGAGCUUGGUUACU